rnacentral:lncRNA from 1 species
AAAUUUCAAAUAAGAUAAAUGGUUUAAUCAAUAGAUAUUGAGAUUCUAAAUUGUAUUAAAGUUAGAUAGAGUUGAUUAAGAUUUGGUUAGAAUUUGGUUUGGAAUGGGAUUGAAUUAGAGUUUAGGAUUUGAAUUAAGAUUUGUUUAGGAUUAGAAUUUAAGAUUUGGUUAGGAUUUAUUUAGGAUUUAUAAUUUAAGAUUUGUUUAAGAUUUUGGAUUUAAGAUUUAUUUAGGAUUUAGGAUUUAGCCUAGGAUUUGAUUGAAGUCCAUCAAAAUCUCAAUUAGGAUUAAAUUAGGACUUAAUUGAGAUUUAUUUAAGAUAUGUUUGUUAUUAUUCUAAUAUUUCUUUAGGAUUUCUUAGAUAUUCUUUUAAGAUUUAUUAUAGAUUUCUUUUGAACUCCUUUA